rnacentral:lncRNA from 1 species
GCGCCGACCAGUGUUGCAAGAAACCGGUUCUUCCUCUCCCUCCGCCCGCACCCAUCCCGCCUCCUCUCUCUCUCUCUCUCGCCCUCUCUCGUUUCUUCUUCGUCCCGAUUCUUCUCCCUUCCCCCUCCCGCGCCUCGAUUCUUCUUCAUCCUCUCCCUCCGAACCCUGCAUCGCCUCCCAUAAAAAUGAUCGACGCCUCCCCUCCUCCCCCUCCUCCGCCGCCUCCGCCGACUUUUCAUGCGCCGCCGUCUGCUCCACCUCCGCCACCGCGGCCGAGGCCAGCUCGCCGCCGUCGUCGGUGUGCUCCGCCUGUGGCGGCCCCACCGCCUCCAUCUCCUCUGCCGCCAGCCGCCACUUCCUUGGCUUCGUCGCCGAUCUCUCCCACUCUGUCCGCGGCCGCAAGAUCUCCGCCACUUUCCUUCUUUCAAUAUUAGGUUUAUGACAAAAUCUUACACAUAGAGUGUGACUUCUAUGACUGUGUGGCGAAAUUGUUGUCUAAUUAGCAGGAUUUUCUAAUGACCAAAUUAUGCAACGCACUGUGAUGGUCCCUUUCUACAAAAUCAGUUUUGUUAUUUAAAAUUUUGGAAUAUGGUAGCAAAUUUGGUGUUUGGCAGACUGCUAUGUGAUUCAGGUUUGAUCCCAGGCAAAUGCGAGCAGAUCACAUGUAGUUUUAUAGCCUAAGUUAGAACUUUUUUUUUUAUCAUGCUUUUUAUAGCCUAAGUUAGAUACUUUUUUUUUUAUCAUGCUUGACGAUUCCUUUUAUGACAAAAAAAUUAAGGUUCUGUCUCUCUCAAUGGGUAGUUUCUACACAUUAUAGAAGAUUAGUGUUAUUUUGAGUUAUGCUGGAAUGUUGAAAGGGGAAGACAGAUAUUAUUGCUAGUAUAUAUGCAGAAUACAAUACCUUUGUUUGUUCCCACAUUAUAUUUUAUCCUUGGGUAUCAUAGAGAACAAUAUCUAAUAUGUCACAGUUGUUCUGAGUUGUAUCUGGGCAAUGUGUUGAGCUGGUCCUUAAGUUUAGAAUGGUCAAUGAAAUAACAACAAUUAUUAAAGCAUAUUUGACCUGUACGUAUAUUCUCUUUUAGUUAUGCCUACUAAUUAUUUCCUUAGAUCAAGUUUUCUUAAAUCUUGGGUCUACUGUUUCUGG